AAAAAAAAACAUAGGGCAUCAUCCGUGUCCAUCUUGGCAGUCAGGGAGGCAACAGUCAGCCAUACAUACAUUUAGUCUGGGAGCAGUAAUGGCCUCCCUCAGGAAUCCCGGUAGCAGCGGCAUGGGCCAGAGAGGAGCUCCUGGGGGAAAUCAGAAGAGCUGCAAGCAUUCAGGACUUCCCGCGGGCCGGAUUUUGAUCGCUGGCGGGCCGGAUCCAGGCUGUAGUUUGGGGACCCCUGGUAUUCGUUAUUGACGAUGAACUACUGCUUCUAGAAGCGAGUAUACGAAGGAAGAAUGAGACGUUGGAGCAGACGGAAGCCGAGAGAGUGAGGUUAAGUGAAUUGAAGCUGCAAAAUGUGGCUUUUGAAGCUUAGCUAUUUUGACAUAAAUGGAGUGCUUACCCAUAAUUAACCGGAAAAAAAAUGUCCUUGGCCAGCCGGACUAAACGAACAACUGUCCGUCGAGUGAGUAACUUUGAUAUCGAUCAUGAUCCACACAGCACGUCUUGGGUGUUAAUAAAACUACAGUACAUAA